CUACCCGAUGAAGUCAUUCUUCCUUACAAAGUAGAUUCCGUUGCUAGGGCUGCCAUAACCAAAUGCCGCAGCCUGGGUGGCUUCAACAGAAUUUCAUUUCCCCACAGUCCUGGGAGCUGGAAGCCCAAGGUCCAGGCGCUAUCUUCCAAUUCAGCCAUUCGGAGGUCUUGGCGGUUGAAACUUCAAGACAGGAAUUUGGAGUGAGGACACAGUUCAUUCCAUACACAAAGACAGGAGCGGCUUCAUCCAGAACCCGGAAGGUCUGUCCCUCUACAGAAACCCAGAUCUAAUCGUGUCGCAUCCCAC
rnacentral:lncRNA from 10 species